UACGAGGGGGGCAAAUGUUGUUCGGAAUCACUGGGCGUAAAGGGCGCGUAGGCGGCCUGCUAAGUCGAACGUGAAAUCCCCGGGCUCAACCUGGGAACUGCAUUUGUGACUGCAUCGCUGGAGUACGGCAGAGGGGGAUGGAAUUCCGCGUGUAGCAGUGAAAUGCGUAGAUAUGCGGAGGAACACCGAUGGCGAAGGCAAUCCCCUGGACCUGUACUGACGCUCAUGCACGAAAGCGUGGGG
rnacentral:rRNA from 1 species